CGUGCCUCCUCGUUCAGCUGUUCUGUGACGUGCCUCUCCAGCGUGCGGUCUUCUUGCUUCAACGAGGAUGGGUGACAAUAAAUGCAAUUUUAUUGUUGCAAAGAAAGGUCGGCGUUGCCGGUUGCGGCCGCUGUCCGGAUCGCACUACUGCGGUGAGCACGUAGUGCUGUCACCGGCGGAAAACGGCGAGCAGGGCCACGAUCGGAUCGCAUGUCCCCUGGAUUCGACACACACCUACUCAUCAGCCCUACUCGACAAGCACCUGAAGAAAUGCAAUGCUAUGAAGAAGGAAUCUCAAGUAAGGAUGUUUUGUUUGAUGCAAACCUGGAUGCA